rnacentral:lncRNA from 1 species
GAGUGAUGUUGGACCACCUGCUGGAGAGAUAAACAUGUGUCGGUUUAUCUUCGUUCGACAUGGGAUCAGACUGUGAUAUCUUAAUUUAUCAUUUUGUUAGUUGAUAAAGAUUUAGCUUAUCGAAGUUUGAAUGUCUAUUAUAUUUAGUUCUAGGACGGACAGAUAUGCUUGUACAAAAACUUUUCAUGUCCAACCUAUCUGGAUUUUAGUAUUAAUGUAAUAAUUAUAAAUGUACAUGUUGCGGCCUUUCUCCCAUAGAUAGUCAGUAGUCGGUCUGGAGCUGACUAUCAGCCGCA